AGUGAACGCUGGCGGUAGGCCUAACACAUGCAAGUCGAACGGCAGCACAGGAGAGCUUGCUCUCUGGGUGGCGAGUGGCGGACGGGUGAGGAAUACAUCGGAAUCUACUUUUUCGUGGGGGAUAACGUAGGGAAACUUACGCUAAUACCGCAUACGACCUACGGGUGAAAGCAGGGGACCUUCGGGCCUUGCGCGAUUGAAUGAGCCGAUGUCGGAUUAGCUAGUUGGCGGGGUAAAGGCCCACCAAGGCGACGAUCCGUAGCUGGUCUGAGGGGGUGAUCAGCCACACUGGAACGGAGGCACGGUACAGACUCCGACGGGAGGCAGCAGUGGGGAAUAUUGGACAAUGGGCGCAAGCCUGAUCCAGCCAUACCGCGUGGGUGAAGAAGGCCUUCGGGUUGUAAAGCCCUUUUGUUGGGAAAGAAAUCCAGCUGGCUAAUACCCGGUUGGGAUGACGGUACCCAAAGAAUAAGCACCGGCUAACUUCGUGCCAGCCGCCGCCGUAA
rnacentral:rRNA from 1 species